GACGAACGCUGGCGGCGUGCCUAAUACAUGCAAGUCGAACGCAGUGGGGACGGGUGCGUAACACGUGGGUAACCUCCCAUCAGAGGGGAUAACACUUGGAAACAGGUGCUAAACCGAUACUGAUGGAUGGACCCGCGGGGCAUUGGCUAGUUGGUGUGGUAACGGCUUACCAAGGCCACGAUGCAUAGCCGACCUGGGAGGAGGAUCGGGCACACUGGAACUGAGACACGGGCCAGACUCCUACGGUAGGCAGCAGUGGGGAAUCUUCGGCAAUGGACGAAAGACUGACGGAGCAACGCCGCGUGAGUGAAGAAGGUUUUCGGAUCGUAAAGCACUGUUGUUAGGGAAGCGGUAUCUAACCAGAAAGCCACGGCUAACUACGUGCCAGCAGCCGCGGUAAUUC
rnacentral:rRNA from 1 species